AGCGUCAGCGGCGCUGGCUCGACAUAGUAUGCGGUGUCGUGAGGGAUACCUUAACGACAUUCCUUAUAGCUAUGCCGCGUCCGGUGUCGUCGUCGUGCACUUCUCCUCUAGUAGAACGUCGCGACCCGUUGGGUGCCGGUCUACGGCCCGAGGUGCGGACUGUCACGUCGCUUCGGCGUAUGCGUCAGACCCUCGGUUGCCUGGCCGGCUGCUCGGCGGUAGAACGCACGGUAUCUGGCCGCAAUUUUCGAAAUGCGUCGGGUCCACCGCAAGCGAGAUCAGUGUCCC
rnacentral:rRNA from 1 species